AAUCAACGCUGGCGGCGUGCCUAACACAUGCAAGUCGAACGCGACUUGGGCUUCGGCUCAAGUUGAGUGGCGAACGGGUGAGUAACACGUGGGUGACCUACCUUCGAGUGGGGGAUAACGUCCCGAAAGGGACGCUAAUACCGCAUAACAUCCCGCCUUUGAACAGGCGGAGAUCAAAGCCGGGGAUCGCAAGACCUGGCGCUUGAUGAGGGGCCCGCGUCCGAUUAGCUAGUUGGUGGGGUAAUGGCCUACCAAGGCGACGAUCGGUAGCCGGCCUGAGAGGGCGGACGGCCACACUGGGACUGAGACACGGCCCAGACUCCUACGGGAGGCAGCAGUGGGGAAUUGUUCGCAAUGGGCGCAAGCCUGACGACGCAACGCCGCGUGGAGGAUGAAGGUCUUCGGAUUGUAAACUCCUGUUGCCCGGGACGAAUGGCUCCAACCUAAUACGUUGGAGUGUGACGGUACCGGGUGAGGAAGCCCCGGCUAACUCUGUGCCAGCAGCCGCGGUAAUACG
rnacentral:rRNA from 1 species